rnacentral:tRNA from 1 species
GGGUGUGUGGCGGAAAUGGUAGACGCUAUGGUGAGUUGGAAGCAGUGGGUACACCAAGAAGUCAAACUCAUACCGUAAAACGUACAGUUGCACUGCAUCCGGGUUCGAAUCCCGGCACAUCCA